rnacentral:rRNA from 1 species
GAUGAACGCUAGCGGCAGGCCUAAUACAUGCAAGUCGAACGAUAUUAUCCAGCUUGCUGGAUAUGAAAGUGGCGCACGGGUGCGUAACGCGUAUGCAACCUACCUUAUUCAGGGGGAUAGCCCGAAGAAAUUCGGAUUAACACCGCAUAAAAUCACAGUUCAGCAUUGGACAAUGAUCAAAUAUUUAUAGGAAUAAGAUGGGCAUGCGUGUCAUUAGCUAGUUGGCGGGGUAACGGCCCACCAAGGCGACGAUGACUAGGGGAUCUGAGAGGAUGGGCCCCCAAACUGGUACUGAGACGCGGACCAGACUCCUACGGGAGGCAGCAGUAAGGAAGAUUGGUCAAUGGAGGGGACUCUGAAACAGCCAUGCUUCGUGCAGGAAGACGGCCCUCAGGGUUGUAAACUGCUUUUAUUCGGGAAUAAACCUAUUUACGUGUAAAUAGCUGAAUGUACCGAAGGAAUAAGGAUCGGCUAACUCCGUGCCAGCCGCCGCAGUAA